GAUGAAGAACGCAGCAAAAUGCGAUAAGUAAUGUGAAUUGCAGAAUUCAGUGAAUCAUCGAAUCUUUGAACGCACAUUGCGCCCGCCAGUACUCUGGCGGGCAUGCCUGUCCGAGCGUCAUUUCAACCCUCAGGGCCCUCCAGCAGGGCGCUGGUGUUGGGGAUCGGCAGUCCCAGCGGCUGCCGUCCCUGAAAUGUAGUGGCGGUCCCACCGUGACCUCCCCUGUGCAGUACAUCGCUCGCAGAGGGACAGCGGUGCGGCCACGCCGUAAAACGCCCAACUCUUCAAGGUUGACCUCGGAUCAGGUAGGACUACCCGCUGAACUUAAGCAUAUCAAUAAGCGAGGA
rnacentral:misc_RNA from 1 species